CCUAAUAAGCCCACAAAUAACACAAAUAAACCACAAAUAAGCCCUAAAAUGCAAAUAAACCCAGAAAUAAAAUAAACCACAAAUAAAUCCCAAAAUGCAAAUAAACCCAGAAAUAAAAUAAAAUAAAUAUGCAAAUAAAAGGGUCUGACUCAAUCCGGGGGCUCAGGAUCAUCUGGAUGAAGGGCUCUGAUGUCCCCAUCAACUCCUCCCGGGUGAGAAAAACUCGACCCCGUCGAGUACAGGUCUGGCCG
rnacentral:lncRNA from 1 species